rnacentral:rRNA from 1 species
AACGAACGCUGGCGGCGCGCCUAAUACAUGCAAGUCGAGCGAGAAGACGUAGCAAUACGUUUGUAAAGCGGCGAACGGGUGAGGAAUACAUGGGCAACCGUACCCUCGAGUGGGGAAUAACUAGCCGAAAGGUUAGCUAAUACCGCGUACGCUCCUUGGACUUCGGUUCAGGGAGGAAAGCGAUACCGUGGGUAUCGCGCUCUUGGAUGGGCUCAUGUCCUAUCAGCUUGUUGGUGGGGNGAUGGCCUACCAAGGCGACGACGGGUAGCCGGCCUGAGAGGGCGACCGGCCACACUGGGACUGAGACACGGCCCAGACUCCUACGGGAGGCAGCAGUGGGGAAUCUUGCGCAAUGGGCGAAAGCCUGACGCAGCGACGCCGCGUGAGGGAUGACGGCCUGGUUGUAAC